UACGAAGGGGGCUAGCGUUGCUCGGAAUCACUGGGCGUAAAGCGCACGUAGGCGGACUCUUAAGUCGGUGGUGAAAUCCUGGAGCUCAACUCCAGAACUGCCUUCGAUACUGGGAGUCUCGAGUCCGGGAGAGGAGAGUGGAAUUCCUGGUGUAGCGGUGAAAUGCGCAGAUAUCAGGAGGAACACCAAUUGCGAAGGCAGCUCGCUGGGACGUUACUGACGCUGAGACGCGAAAGCGUGGGGAGCAAACAGG
rnacentral:rRNA from 1 species